GGGCUCGUGGUUUAGUGGUAUAAUACUCCCUUAGCAACGCUGAGAAUGGGAGUGGUCCGGGGUUCGAUUCCCCGCGAGUCCA
rfam:Blumeria graminis f. sp. hordei DH14, WGS project CATH01000000 data, contig: 003430